rnacentral:rRNA from 1 species
AACGAACGCUGGCGGCGUGCCUAACACAUGCAAGUCGAACGGAAUUUGAGAGCUUGCUCUUAAAUUUAGUGGCGCACGGGUGAGUAACGCGUAGAUAAUCUGCCUGACGAUCUGGGAUAACACUUCGAAAGAGGUGCUAAUACCGGAUAAGCCCACGGAGUCUUUGGAUUCUGCGGGAAAAGGGGGGGACCUUCGGGCCUUCUGUCGUCAGAUGAGUCUGCGUACCAUUAGCUAGUUGGUAGGGUAAUGGCCUACCAAGGCGACGAUGGUUUGCUGGUCGGAGAGGAUGAUCAGUCACACUGGAACUGGGACACGGUCCAGGAUCCUACGGGAGGCAGCAGUGGGGAAUUUUGCGCAAUGGGCGAAAGCCUGAGUCAGCAACGCCGCGUGAGUGAUGAAGGCUUUCGGGUCGUAAAGCUCUGUCGAGGGGAAAGAAGUGUACUUUGGCUAAUAUCCAUUGUACUUGACGGUACCCCUAAAGGAAGCACCGGCUAACUCCGUGCCAGCAGCCGCCGUAAUAC